rnacentral:rRNA from 1 species
GUGCCAGCAGCCGCGGUAAUUCCAGCUCCAAUAGCGUAUAUUAAAGUUGUUGCAGUUAAAAAGCUCGUAGUUGGAUCUCGGGCGCAGGCGGGCGGUCCGGCUCGCGCCGGCUCGCCGCCCGUUCACCUGCCCCACCCCUGCCGGCUCCCUCCCGGUGGUGCUCUUCGCUGAGCGUCCCGGGUGGCCGGCGCGUUUACUUUGAAAAAAUUAGAGUGUUCAAGGCGGGCCCGCCGAGCCCGAAUAACUGCGCAUGGAAUAAUGGAAUAGGACCUCGGUUCUAUUUUGCUGGUUUUCGGAAUCCGAGGUAAUGAUUGACGGGGACAAACGGGGGCAUUCGUAUUGCGGC